AUUGGGGGGAAAUUAGUAUAUAAGUUAUUAAUAAAAAUAAUUUUAAUAAAAUAUCUAUGGGGUUAAAGUAUUUUAUAAAGAAAAAAUUAUUUAAUUUAUAAUAAAUUAGUAUUGUGAAAGAAAUUUGAAAUAAGUGAAAAUAAAUUAUAUAAAAAGUAAUUUUAGUUUAUUGUAUCUUGUGUAUCAGAGUUUAUUAAUAAAAUUUUUUAAUAGAAAAAAUUCUCGAAUUUAAAAGAGUUAAUUAAUUAAAAAAGUUAUUGUGGCAAAAAUAUUUUUAAUAAUUAAUUAGAAAUGAAAUGUUAAUCGUUUUUAAAUAUAUCUAGUUUUUUUAGAAAAAAAUUUAAUUUUUAAAUAAAUUAAUUAAAAUAUUAAUUAAAAAAUUUUUUAAAUAUUUAAUUUUAAUAUUUUAAGGGAUAAGCUUUAAUUUAAAUAUUUAUAAAUAAAAUAUUAAAUAUUUGAAAAUUUUAAAAUUUAUAUUGUUUAAAAAUUAUAAUUUUUUAUAAAUAAUUUCAAUAAAAAUAAAAUUUAAUAUAAAAUUUAAAUUUUUAUAAAAAAAAUAAAAUUUAAUAAAAUAAUUUUAGUUAUAAUGAUAAAAUUAGUAUAUAAAUUAAAAUAAAAAUGUAAAAAUUUAAUUAAAUGAAAAAUUAAUAAUAAGGAAUUCGGCAAAAAUUUAUAUUCACUUGUUUAUCAAAAACAUGUCUUUUUGAAAAUAAUUUAAAGUCUAAUCUGCCCACUGAUGAAAAUUAAAGGGCUGCAGUAUUUUGACUGUACAAAGGUAGCAUAAUCAUUAGUCUCUUAAUUGGUGACUUGUAUGAAAGAUUGGAUGAGAUAUAAGCUGUCUUAUUUUUAUUUAUAGAAUUUAAUUUUUUAAUUAAAAAGUUAAAAUAAUUUUAAAAGACGAGAAGACCCUAUAGAGUUUUAUAUAUUAAUAAUUAUAAAUUUUUUUUUAUUAAUAUUAAAUUUAAAUUAAUAAAUAUAUUUUAUUGGGGUGAUAGAAAAAUAAAAAUAACUUUUUUUAAAUUAAUAUAUAUAUAUAUAUAUAUAUAUAUAUAAACAUUAAUAAAUGAUUACAUGAUCCAUAAAUUAUGAUUAAAAGAUUAAAUUACCUUAGGGAUAACAGCGUAAUUUUUUUUUUUAGUUCAAAUAAGAAAAAAAGUUUGCGACCUCGAUGUUGGAUUAAGAUAAAAUUUAAAUGCAAAAGUUUAAAAUUUUGAUCUGUUCGAUCAUUAAAAUCUUACAUGAUCUGAGUUCAAACCGGUGUGAGCCAGGUUGGUUUCUAUCUUUAGAUAAAUAAAAUAUUUUAGUACGAAAGGAUCAAAUAUUUAAAAUAAUUUUAUUAAGUUGAAUUUUAUUAAUUUCUUUUUAGGAUAUUUAUUAA
rnacentral:rRNA from 1 species